AACGAACGCUGGCGGCGUGGAUAAGAUAUGCAAGUCGAACGGGACUUUUUUCUGUAGCAAUACAGAGAAAAGUCUAGUGGCGAACGGGUGCGUAACAUGUGAGCAACCUGCCGUGAAGUGGGGGAUAGCUCGCCGAAAGCAGAAUUAAGACCGCAUGUGGCCAAGGAAGACAUCUUCCUGUCGCCAAAGCCGGGACAACCUGGCGCUCCCUGAGGGGCUCGCGGCCUAUCAGCUUGUUGGUGAGGUAACGGCUCACCAAGGCCAUGACGGGUAGCUGGUCUGAGAGGACGACCAGCCACACUGGAACUGAGACACGGUCCAGACACCUACGGGUGGCAGCAGUCGAGAAUUUUUCACAAUGGGGUAAACCCUGAUGGAGCGACGCCGCGUGGAGGAUGAAGGUUUUCGGAUUGUAAACUCCUGUCAUUAGAGAACAAGGCACACGGUUUAACUGGCCGUGUGUUGUUAGUAUCUGAAGAGGAAGAGACGGCUAACUCUGUGCCAGCAGCCGCCGUAAGAC
rnacentral:rRNA from 1 species